GUCACGAGCCCGAGUGGAACCCACUUUCACCCCAGUUCAGGCCAAAUUUAGACGCCCUGAGUCGUGAGAAAAGCCCCGCUGUGAGUCAGUAAUAAAUAAACCCCAUAUAAUGGUUCCCAGACUGUAGGAGGAGAUGUCACCUUCACCUCACCGUUCCUCCGUCUCCUCUUUUCUGGUCUGCAGGAGCUCGCUUCCAUCAGCAGGCGUGAGCAGCACGUGAGAGAGGCAAUAGUGGGAAAGAGUCCGGGGGUCUACAGCCAGCACCCCCCCAGGUCUUCCCAAACAGCCCCGCUGUACUGCCUCGAUCUGAUUGUCCAUCAGGGCGAGGACGUCAGUCCUUCUGCUCUUGCGUCCGUGAGCACCUCAGAUGAAGCCCCUGCCAGCUCCCCUCCGUCUGUUCCCAGUUCAGCCAGAGCCUUGUCUGCUUUCGUGGACCCAUUAGACAUGUGUGUCCUUGGACACACCUUGGAAGUGCUCAAAGGCCAGUCUCCUGAAGCGCCCCAUCCAGGCUCUGAUCAGCCAGCAGCGGACACCUCCGCCUCCUCAGACGGACCUCCAGCAUCUAAAGUCAUGGCUGUCCUGCCGCCGAUCCCCGCGGGGCGUAAGACUCCAGCAGUGCCCGGCGUGGCUCCUGACACGGGGUUAGCUUUGCAGUAGAUUUAAGAACUGUAAACCCGUAAACCCCACAUGCUUGUCCUGUCAACACUUCCCCUGUGAUCUCUCCCUCGUGUCUUAGCUUGCACAAAUCUUUGAUUUUGUUAUACAUGACAGCUGACGACUGUGAGAAUUUAGAUAAUUAUAGGCAGAGAUCUGCCAAACUUCAAGUUUAGUACAGUAGAAGCUUAAAUAAACAGCUUUUGUCCUUCUAUACUGCUAUAAUCUCAUGAUUCUAUGGCCUGCUUUGUGUUAGCAACCACAGGUGCACCUAAGGAACAUACACUUUCCACGCACACACACACCACC
rnacentral:lncRNA from 1 species